GCGCGUCGGUGUUCUGAGGCUGUUUCCCUGGAUGAUGCGGGCAGUGUGAGUGAUGUGGCCUCUGUGGACUCUUCGGACGGUGCAGGUUUGGCCUGUGUGUAUGUGAAGGUGGUGGCUGUGCCUGCGGCGGGGCCUGCUGGGCGUGGUGUGGUGCGGCCUGUCUCGAAGCGUUCGCGGCGGGCUCGGAGUGUCUCCCCUUCGUGGUGUGCCUUGGGAGAUGGUUGGAGAGUAUGGUGAUCUGGCGCCCCCCGCCGAGGAUGAUGGUGCUGUGCGGGGCUCCGAAGUUGCUACCUGUGCCUCUCCUCCUGCGUCUCCUGCUGUUGGAUUUCCACAGUGGUGGGUUGUCCCUGAUGAUCGGGACCUCGUCGUGAUGUUGCGGAAAGAUGUGCGCCGGGGGGCCUCGGCUCCUGUGCCCUGUGGUGGGGUCGAUGCCGCGCCUGCAUCCCCUGCGGUUUCCCCUCCUUCAUUGCCCCGGUCUGGGGGAAGCCUAGUCCCAGCUGCUGGGGUUGUGCCCUGUGGGGGUCCGGUGUUGGGCCCUUAUCGGGAUGCCCGGGUGCUUCCGGUCCCGUGGUUCUCGUCCACUGUCUGGGUGUCGCGGGUGAAGGAGUUUGUGUAUAGGGUGCCGGAUAAGAUGUCUCAGCCGAGGCCACCGCCUGGUGGCCAGGUGCCCGAUGACACGUGGGUGAUUUGGGAGGCGUACUGCUUGUGCUUUCAGAUAUACAAGUUCCCGGAGAAGUAUUAGUUCACGUCUGAUCAGCUGCCGCCGUGACCUCGUCGCCCCGCCCUACGGUGCGGGGAGUCUCCCUCUAACGUCCCCCUCUGUUUUCGUCGCCACUCCUCUCUCUACGACUCGUCACAUCUAACACACUUGACUUGAUUCUCCUCCUUAACGUCAACGCGUCUCCCUACAUUUGUCCUGGUGCAGUCAUCGGGAGGGUAAACCCUUCAUGCAAACUGCACCUAUUCUCAAGAAGAAGAGAAGAAGGAUCGUAUCAGACACUUGGCCGAGAAGCGAUAAGAAUCGUCAGCUGCUACUAAUGUACGACGGCCAAAUGUUGUCCGCAUGCUACAAGUGUGUAUAUUUAAAUAGGAUUAAGUCACGAUUGUGCAUAAACGUAAGCCCAUUCGGGUCACAGCCGAAAGGUCCCGGGUUCAUUUGCCAGGGCAGGACAUGAGUGCCUGGGCAACGCUCUUUUUCACCUGAUGUCACUGUUCACCUGUCAGCAAAUAGCUACAAUUGGGAGGUGGAUACUGGACCAGACGUCUGCUGAGUCAUGUUAGCAGGCUGAGAGCCCUCGCUUCCCAGAGCUUAUGGACUAACCCGAAGAAAAAUUCGCCUCAAACUAACUACCCAGUCCCUAAAAUCUGAUCUUAUCCAGGCUGCUGUAUCCUCUAAAAAGGGGAUUUACAUCAACGAGUGCUUGACUAGAAAAAGAAAGGCACUCCUUUACCAUAAAUGUGGUGAUCUCACUGAUAUCAACAAUUACAGACCUAUAUCAAUUCUG